rnacentral:lncRNA from 1 species
CCAGCACGUAAGUUGGUAGUUCACGUGUCUGGUGUACAUUGUCACAUGCGUGUGUCCUCUACCAGUGGUUGUGCUUUUGUGCACGUCACUGUACAGAGUACAGCAGUGCAGAGUCUUUACUUCCUGCCCAUCCACUCCACGCCACCCCGGAGGCCAGCUGUUGUACUGUCCUACUGCACUUUUCAAGAAACCACUAGAGGGUCUUGUUUCCUGCAGUAAAACCCGGUAAUAAAGCCACAUAGCCAAUUGCA